UACGUAGGUGGCAAGCGUUGUCCGGAUUUAUUGGGCGUAAAGAGCGCGCAGGUGGUUGAUUAAGUCUGAUGUGAAAGCCCACGGCUUAACCGUGGAGGGUCAUUGGAAACUGGUCGACUUGAGUGCAGAAGAGGGAAGUGGAAUUCCAUGUGUAGCGGUGAAAUGCGUAGAGACAUGGAGGAACACCAGUGGCGAAGGCGGCUUCCUGGUCUGUAACUGACACUGAGGCACGAAAGCGUGGGGAGCAAACAGGAUUAGAUA
rnacentral:rRNA from 1 species